UAAAUUUGUGCAGGGUUCUAACAAAUGCUCAGAUGAUGAUUUUAAGUUGCCAUCCAAUAUGUCGAACCAUGGUGAAAUCACUGAUUCAGAUACAAUUUCACAGCAAGUAAAACUUUGCUCUGAAGUAGAUGAAGAG